UUCAUUCAAGUCUGUUUUGAGGUUGUUUCAAUAUUUGAAUGCAACACCAACCUGAUAUGUUAUCUCUUUGGUGUAAUGGUAGGAAUCAAUUUCUUUUUAUUACUAUUUAUGCCUUUUGAGUUUUUGAAAAAAUCAUUACAUAAUAAAAAUUUGACUGUUCAGAAUUUAAAUAUGACAAUUAGUUUUCAAAGCUUGCUGGAAUUUGAUUUGGUUAUUUUAAAAUAUUUGAUUGAAAUUCUAAUUGUUGUUUUGUUUCAUUGUUCUUGAGAAUGUAAUUUUCCCAUUUCACAUUGGUGGUUGAUUUGAAGCUUUGAUUGGAAUCCAUCUACACUAUAUGAUACAACAAAGAUUUUAUUGUGACUUCAACUUUCAUAUUGCUAUUCUAAGAUAUACAAUAAUGAAUAGGUUUGUGGUUACAUCUCUAUCGUUCUAUUUUGAAUUCCCAUUUUAAAAAUUUCCUUUGCUUUAUGUUGUUCUAUUCAUCUUUCAUAUGUAAGCCUCUUGGUGGUUAGUAGAGGAAUAUUGCAUCGACAAAGAUUUUCAUGACUAUUUCUACGCCUUUCAUUGCAUUGUUGUGGUUUGGGCAAGAGUUUUCGCUGCUGCAGUUUCUAUGUCUGCUUUGUGUGCAUAUAGUGCAUCUACCAUUGUUUGUACUACGAAUGGUGUUGGAACCCGAACGAUUGUCUGUUGAGAAAAUAGUGGUAGUUUUGGUGGACUUUUUCGAAGUGGUUUCUGUCCUUUGCGGUGUGCCCUCGAGGGGCAGCAGGUUUGUUUUGGUGCCUCAAGGUUGGCUGCGUGAGGUUGCUGGUUUUUAGGUAGCAGGUUUAUGGUUACUGUCAUUAGGAACCGUAGUGUUGUUUGUGCUUUUGGGUGCUGCACUUUUGUUUUAUGUCUAGCCUUUGUCCUUUGUUUUUCUUUUCGUGAAUCAUGAGGCAGGGGUAUGCGUUUGUGUUGUGUUUUAUAGGUCUAGAUGAUGUUUUUUUAGCUCACUGGUGUCCUAUUUAAUGUAUACCUUAGCCUCAUUUUUUUGUGUGGAAAGAUGUAGUUCUUUAGGGGGCACCUCUUUUUGGUUAUUUAAAGGUCUUUGGUGUUUUUUUUUUUUGUUGUUGUUAAGGUGAUCCGUAUAUAUACGGUGCCGAGUUUGUAUUCGUUUUUCUUGGUUUUACCGCGGGUUAGUGUGUCUUACACAAGCCUGUCGAGAAUAAUAUUUGCUGAUUC
rnacentral:lncRNA from 1 species